AGCUUUGUGCAGUGGCAGUAUUAUAGCCAAUGAGGUUUAUCCGAGGUGCGAUUAUUGCUAAUUGAAAACUUUUCCCAAUACCCCACCAUAAUGACUUGAAAUAUAGUUGGCAUUGGCAAUUUUUGACAGUCUCUAUGGAGA
rnacentral:snRNA from 1 species